CAGGACAGGAUGGGAGAGAGGCUUUGCUGCACAAACUCCACAAAGCCGAUCCCAGUGCCCCAGCAGGACUCUUGGAAGCAGCAAGCUAGGAUGGCAAGACGUCUUGGCAGGCAAGGGGUACAGGGCUACAGUGCAGUGAAACCCAGAGCAGUGAUGAAGAAGCGGCGGGGGCAGGACAGUGGAGGCCCGGCUCUGGGCACAGCAGGGAGAGCGCCGAGGGUUCCGGGCACUGGAGCAGAUUGGUCCCUUAUUUAGUGAGAUUUUCCAUGAGAUGGGAGAGCAGUUCAGAAGCUGUGGAUCUGCUGCUGCUGCUGCAGAAGACUACUUCACAAGAAGAUAAGCUUUGAGCCUUCAGAGAUUUGUAGCCAUUCAUGUUUAAGAAUUUUAAACAAGAAGAAUGAAGGUAAGUAAUCAGAGUACUGAGUACUCAUCAGGUAAGAUAUUAUUGUUUCAAAAUAAGAAAC